rnacentral:rRNA from 1 species
AUUGAGAGCUUGCUUUUGAUUAUUUUAGCGGCGGACUGGUGAGUAACGUGUGGGCAACCUACCUUUUACUGUGGAAUAAUCGUUGGAAACGACGACUAAUACCGCAUACGGUUCUUGGAAGGCAUCUUCUAAGAAAGAAAGGAGUAAUUCGGUAAAAGAUGGGCCCGCAUCUGAUUAGCUAGUUGGUGAGAUAACAGCCCACCAAGGCAACGAUCAGUAGCCGACCUGAGAGGGUGACCGGCCACAUUGGGACUGAGACACGGCCCAAACUCCUACGGGAGGCAGCAGUGGGGAAUAUUGCACAAUGGGCGAAAGCCUGAUGCAGCAACGCCGCGUGAAGGAAGACGGUUUUCGGAUUGUAAACUUCUAUCAAUAGGGAAGAAAGAAAUGACGGUACCUAAAUAAGAAGCCCCGGCUAACUACGUGCCAGCAGCCGCGGUAAUACGUAGGGGGCAAGCGUUAUCCGGAAUUACUGGGUGUAAAGGGAGAGUAGGCGGCAAGGUAAGCGAUAUGUGAAAGCCUUAAGCUUAACUUAAGGAUUGCAUAACGAACUAUCUAGCUAGAGUACAGGAGAGGAAAGCGGAAUUCCUAGUGUAGCGGUGAAAUGCGUAGAUAUUAGGAAGAACACCAGUGGCGAAGGCGGCUUUCUGGACUGAAACUGACGCUGAGGCUCGAAAGCGUGGGGAGCGAACAGGGUUAGAUACCCUGGUAGUCCACGCUGUAAACGAUGAGUGCUAGGUGUCGGGGAGGAAUUCCCGGUGCCGGAGCAAACGCAAUAAGCACUCCA